AAAGAUUCCUCCUCAUAGCCGCUUCCAAGCUUUUCUGGCUGUUCAUCAAUUGACUCCACUAUCACUAGACUAGUUCUCCUUGGAGACGGAUCAUCCUGAUGGAGAUGGAGCUCUUCAGGCUCUUGGAUGAUGGGAGAACCACCUCUCUGAGCAGAUGAUGGGGACUGUGGGGAUGUUUUUUCUCUCUCUUCCUUUGUUGCACUGAAGCGUGCAGAUGUAUCGCUUGCUGCCCUCUGCUCUGUUCCUGGAGUUGUGACAAAAUAUUCAUGUUGUGAAGAUGUUGUUUCUAUCACAUCUUGGGGUUUCCCUGAGAAUUCAGCUUCCACUUGUUCCUUGUGUGUUUGCCUUAGGAGCUCAGCCAUUGAUAGCUCUGCCUCACUCCUAGGAGUACUGUCCUGAAAAGGAGAAUAACUAACAGAUACAUCUUCCUCAGAAACAAUGGGAGGGUGUUCUGUUGGGUCACCGUCUUUAGAUAUUCUGUGGCGUUCAUCUGGCUUAUGUCUUGAACUGUACAGUUCUUCUUGCAGUACAGAAAACCCUUCACUAUGGUCCAAUCCUAUUGUUUGUUCAAUUUCUGUAUAUGUGCGAGUGCCGUGGACCUGCAUAGAGUCAAUGCCACUGGUCUCCAUUAGGUGAACAAUAUCCAUUCGAUUGAUUUUUGUAAGACAUUGAGUAAGACUUGUAUCUGUUGCGUGUUUCCCAUCCCUUUCAAGCCAGUAUUUGAGGAGUGCAUGGCUCUGGUCUUGAAGUGAAUUAGGAUUUUCAAUCCUGAUUUGAUGAAUUUGCUCUUCUGUGAAAUCCAGUUCUCUUGCUAACUCUGUCCAACUGAAUCCAAGGUGAUCAGCAAUGUGGGCCAGUCUUUCCUCAGUCCGUUCCCGAUCAUCCUGUUGAUUUUUUUCUGAAGUCAUAUCAACCUCUUCUUCUUGUUCUUGAUCUGAUUCCGAUUCCUUUGUGUAAACAGGUAAUGUGAUGUUUAAAUUACAUAUGGCUUGAUGAACAAGACCUCUUGUUGAUUUUGGCUCCUUCAUGAAUG
rnacentral:lncRNA from 1 species